rnacentral:rRNA from 1 species
GUGGGGAAUUUUGGACAAUGGGGGCAACCCUGAUCCAGCCAUGCCGCGUGAGUGAAGAAGGCCUUCGGGUUGUAAAGCUCUUUCGGACGGAAAGAAAUUGCCAUCUCUAACAUAGGUGGUAGAUGACGGUACCGUAAGAAGAAGCACCGGCUAACUACGUGCCAGCAGCCGCGGUAAUACGUAGGGUGCGAGCGUUAAUCGGAAUUACUGGGCGUAAAGCGUGCGCAGGCGGUUUUAUAAGACAGGUGUGAAAUCCCCGGGCUUAACCUGGGAACUGCAUUUGUGACUGUAAGGCUAGAGUGCGGCAGAGGGGGGUAGAAUUCCGCGUGUAGCAGUGAAAUGCGUAGAUAUGCGGAGGAAUACCGAUGGCGAAGGCAGCCCCCUGGGUCGACACUGACGCUCAUGCACGAAAGCGUGGGGAGCAAACAGGAUUAGAUACCCCAGUAGUCC